rnacentral:rRNA from 1 species
UCGAGAAUCUUCGGCAAUGGGCGCAAGCCUGACCGAGCGACGCCGCGUGCGGGAUGAAGGCCCUCGGGUUGUAAACCGCUGUCAGAGGGGAGGAAGUUCCGGGGAGUUCUCUCUUCGGUUUGUCCUAUCCUCAGCGGAAGUACGGGCUAAGUUCGUGCCUGCAGCCGCGGUAAGACGAACCGUACGAACGUUAUUCGGAAUCACUGGGCUUAAAGGGUGCGUAGGUGGUCCGGUAAGUUGGGUGUGAAAGCCCUCGGCUUAACCGAG